UACGAAGGGGGCUAGCGUUGCUCGGAAUGACUGGGCGUAAAGGGCGCGUAGGCGGCUUGCACAGUCAGGCGUGAAAUUCCUGGGCUCAACCUGGGGACUGCGCUUGAGACGUGUGGGCUUGAGUGGGGAAGAGGGUCGUGGAAUUCCCAGUGUAGAGGUGAAAUUCGUAGAUAUUGGGAAGAACACCGGUGGCGAAGGCGGCGACCUGGUCCUUGACUGACGCUGAGGCGCGAAAGCGUGGGGAGCGAACGGG
rnacentral:rRNA from 1 species